rnacentral:rRNA from 1 species
CUAAUACCGCAUAAGCCCACAGCUCGGCAUCGAGCAGAGGGAAAAGGAGCAAUCCGCUUUGAGAUGGCCUCGCGUCCGAUUAGCUAGUUGGUGAGGUAACGGCCCACCAAGGCAACGAUCGGUAGCCGGACUGAGAGGUUGAACGGCCACAUUGGGACUGAGACACGGCCCAGACUCCUACGGGAGGCAGCAGUGGGGAAUAUUGCACAAUGGGGGAAACCCUGAUGCAGCGACGCCGCGUGGAGGAAGAAGGUCUUCGGAUUGUAAACUCCUGUUGUUGAGGAAGAUAAUGACGGUACUCAACAAGGAAGUGACGGCUAACUACGUGCCAGCAGCCGCGGUAAAACGUAGGUCACAAGCGUUGUCCGGAAUUACUGGGUGUAAAGGGAGCGCAGGCGGGAAGACAAGUUGGAAGUGAAAUCUAUGGGCUCAACCCAUAAACUGCUUUCAAAACUGUUUUUCUUGAGUAGUGCAGAGGUAGGCGGAAUUCCCGGUGUAGCGGUGGAAUGCGUAGAUAUCGGGAGGAACACCAGUGGCGAAGGCGGCCUACUGGGCACCAACUGACGCUGAGGCUCGAAAGUGUGGGUAGCAAACAGGAUUAGAUACCCUGGUAGUCCACACCGUAAACGAUGAUUACGAGGUGUUGGAGGAUUGACCCCUUCAGUGCCGC